AUACGGAGGGGGCUAGCGUUGUUCGGAAUUACUGGGCGUAAAGCGCGCGUAGGCGGCUUAUCAAGUUAGGCGUGAAAGGCCUGGGCUCAACCCGGGAACUGCGCUUAAUACUGGUAGACUUGAGUCCGGGAGAGGGUGGCGGAAUUCCCAGUGUAGAGGUGAAAUUCGUAGAUAUUGGGAAGCACACCAGUUGCGAAGGCGGCCACCUGGACCGGUACUGACGCUGAGGUGCGAAAGCGUGGGGAGCAAACAGGAUUAGAAACCCCAGUAGUCC
rnacentral:rRNA from 1 species